UUAAGUGAAUAAGGGCGCACGGUGGAUGCCUUGGCACUAGGAGCCGAUGAAGGACGGGACUAACACCGAUAUGCUUUGGGGAGCUGUACGUAAGCUAUGAUCCAGAGAUUUCCGAAUGGGGGAACCCAACAUCUUUAAUAGGAUGUUACGAUUGUGUGAAUACAUAGCACAUUCGAGGUAGACGCAGAGAACUGAAACAUCUAAGUACCUGCAGGAAGAGAAAGAAAAUUCGAUUCCCUGAGUAGCGGCGAGCGAAACGGGAAAAGCCCAAACCAGCAAGCUUGCUUGUUGGGGUUGUAGGACUCCAAUAUGGUAGUUCUUUCAGAUAGUCGAAUGACUUGGAAAAGUCAGUCAAAGAGGGUAAAAACCCCGUAGACGAAAUGUGGAAGACACCUAGGAGGAUCCUGAGUACGGCGGAACACGAGAAAUUCCGUCGGAAUCCGGGAGGACCAUCUCCCAAGGCUAAAUACUCCCUAGUGACCGAUAGUGAACCAGUACCGUGAGGGAAAGGUGAAAAGCACCCCGGAAGGGGAGUGAAAUAGAACCUGAAACCGUGUGCCUACAACAAGUCAAAGCCCGUUAAUGGGUGAUGGCGUGCCUUUUGUAGAAUGAACCGGCGAGUUACGAUUGCAUGCGAGGUUAAGUUGAAGAGACGGAGCCGCAGCGAAAGCGAGUCUGAAUAGGGCGUUUGAGUAUGUAGUCGUAGACCCGAAACCAUGUGAUCUACCCAUGUCCAGGUUGAAGGUGCGGUAAAACGCACUGGAGGACCGAACCCACGUACGUUGAAAAGUGCGGGGAUGAGGUGUGGGUAGCGGAGAAAUUCCAAACGAACUUGGAGAUAGCUGGUUCUCUCCGAAAUAGCUUUAGGGCUAGCCUCGGAAUUGAGAAUGAUGGAGGUAGAGCACUGUUUGGACUAGGGGCCCAUCUCGGGUUACCGAAUUCAGAUAAACUCCGAAUGCCAUUCAUUCAUAUCCGGGAGUCAGACUGUGAGUGAUAAGAUCCAUAGUCGAAAGGGAAACAGCCCAGACCACCAGCUAAGGUCCCAAAAUAUAUGUUAAGUGGAAAAGGAUGUGGGGUUGCACAGACAACUAGGAUGUUGGCUUAGAAGCAGCCACCAUUUAAAGAGUGCGUAAUAGCUCACUAGUCGAGUGACCCUGCGCCGAAAAUGUACCGGGGCUAAACAUAUUACCGAAGCUGUGGAGUACACCUUUAGGUGUAUUGGUAGGAGAGCGUUCUAAGGGCGUCGAAGGCAGAUCGUGAGGACUGCUGGAGCGCUUAGAAGUGAGAAUGCCGGUAUGAGUAGCGAAAGACAGGUGAGAAUCCUGUCCACCGAAUGACUAAGGUUUCCUGGGGAAGGCUCGUCCGCCCAGGGUUAGUCGGGACCUAAGCCGAGGCCGACAGGCGUAGGCGAUGGAUAACAGGUUGAUAUUCCUGUACCCGUUGUUUUUGUUUGAGCAAUGGAGGGACGCAGGAGGCUAAGGAAUGCAGACGAUCGGAAAUGUCUGUCCAAGCAGUAAGUCUGAAGAGGAGUCAAAUGCUUCUUUUCUUAAGGACAAGCUGUGAUGGGGAGGGAAAUAAUAGUACCGAAGUUCCUGAUGUCACACUGCCGAGAAAAGCUUCUAGUGAGAAAACAGCGGCCCGUACCGCAAACCGACACAGGUAGUCGAGGAGAGAAUCCUAAGGUGAGCGAGAGAACUCUCGUUAAGGAACUCGGCAAAAUGACCCCGUAACUUCGGGAGAAGGGGUGCUGAUCAUACGAUCAGCCGCAGUGAAUAGGCCCAAGCGACUGUUUAUCAAAAACACAGGUCUCUGCAAAAUCGUAAGAUGAAGUAUAGGGGCUGACGCCUGCCCGGUGCUGGAAGGUUAAGAGGAGUGCUUAGCGCAAGCGAAGGUACGAAUUGAAGCCCCAGUAAACGGCGGCCGUAACUAUAACGGUCCUAAGGUAGCGAAAUUCCUUGUCGGGUAAGUUCCGACCCGCACGAAAGGCGUAACGAUUUGGGCACUGUCUCAACGAGAGACUCGGUGAAAUUUUAGUACCUGUGAAGAUGCAGGUUACCCGCGACAGGACGGAAAGACCCCAUGGAGCUUUACUGUAGUUUGAUAUUGAGUGUCUGUACCGCAUGUACAGGAUAGGUAGGAGCCGUAGAAAUCGGAACGCUAGUUUCGAUGGAGGUGCUGGUGGGAUACUACCCCUGCGUUAUGGCCACUCUAACCCGCACCACUAAUCGUGGUGGGAGACAGUGUCAGAUGGGCAGUUUGACUGGGGCGGUCGCCUCCUAAAAGGUAACGGAGGCGCCCAAAGGUUCCCUCAGAAUGGUUGGAAAUCAUUCGAAGAGUGUAAAGGCAGAAGGGAGCUUGACUGCGAGACCAACAAGUCGAGCAGGGACGAAAGUCGGGCUUAGUGAUCCGGUGGUUCCGCAUGGAAGGGCCAUCGCUCAACGGAUAAAAGCUACCCUGGGGAUAACAGGCUUAUCUCCCCCAAGAGUCCACAUCGACGGGGAGGUUUGGCACCUCGAUGUCGGCUCGUCGCAUCCUGGGGCUGUAGUCGGUCCCAAGGGUUGGGCUGU
rnacentral:rRNA from 1 species